GUCUACGGCCAUACCUCGUCCGAUCACUGAAGUUAAGCAACGUCGGGCUCGGUUAGUACUUGGAUGGGUGACCGUCUUGGGAACACCGAGUGCUGUAGACU
rnacentral:rRNA from 1 species